GCCCCACCUGGCGUGGUCUCCCAGCCACGACGGGCUCCCUGGAGCCCCAGGACCCUCGCUGUGGACAUUACGGGGCACAGUGCGGCCCUCCAGAGGACCGGCCCCUGGUAGAGGGAGCUUCCGGUGGCCUGGGGGAACAGGUCCUUCCGAAGGGUGGCCUGUCACUAGGAGGUCAGCCCGCCAGCUGCCCCUCUCCAGUCCAGUCUCUGAGACAAGGCGUUGUUUAGAGGUCAGGCAUCUUUUGUGUGCCAGUGACAGACAUUUUCCUUGCUCAAAGAAAUAGGAUGAUUGAUGGGACUACAGAAUUGGAAAAUGUAAGGGGCUUCAGGCAUAGCUGGAUCCAGGAGAUGAGACAAGGUUAUUAGAGCCACCUUCCUCUCCCUUUCUCUCUCCUGGGCUUUCCCUGCGUAGCUUUAUUCUCAGGUAGACUGUCUCUCCAGGUCUAUCCAGACACAGAGCAACACUCAAAUUUCACUACACUCAUAAAUCUCCCACAGGACUGAUUGGCGGCUGGGAUCGUGUGCCCAUCCCUGGGCUGGGGCUCAGGGGCUGGGCAGUGGCGAUUGGGUGGCUCGGGUCAUGUGCCUGCUGCCACAUUUAUAGUCCCUCCAACAUCACUGGACUGGGGGGAGUGUCAUUUUUAGAGAAAUUCAGGGAGUGAAGGGUGGGCGUGUCCACUCCGUGUGGCCUGUCCAGUGGUGGCCAGUGAGCGCUCCCAUGGAGAAGCGUCUAUGUGGGUAAAGGCCCUAGAAGAAACCUUGGGCUCCAUCCACCUGCCGGCCUUUCCAUUUGGAGCAAGAGGCUGUGGCCGCCAGGACCUGGGUCUCAGGAAGCCCCAGCAAACUUCAAAGGGGACAGGGUUUGAUCGCAGAAGGGGACUCGCUAAGAGUGGUGAUCAAAAGGAACGCGUAGGAUUCCAGAAAUACAGCGGCAAAAACGGCUUCUGUCUCUCUGGUCUGGAGGUCGGAGGGAGGAGAAAGCGGAACGCUGUCAUGGAAACUGGCUGA
rnacentral:lncRNA from 1 species